CGUACCUUUUGUAUAAUGGGUCAGCGACUUAUAUUCUGUAGCAAGGUUAACCGUAUAGGGGAGCCGCAGGGAAACCGAGUCUUAACUGGGCGUUAAGUUGCAGGGUAUAGACCCGAAACCCGGUGAUCUAGCCAUGGGCAGGUUGAAGGUUGGGUAACACUAACUGGAGGACCGAACCGACUAAUGUUGAAAAAUUAGCGGAUGACUUGUGGCUGGGGGUGAAAGGCCAAUCAAACCGGGAGAUAGCUGGUUCUCCCCGAAAGCUAUUUAGGUAGCGCCUCGUGAACUCAUCUUCGGGGGUAGAGCACUGUUUCGGCUAGGGGGUCAUCCCGACUUACCAACCCGAUGCAAACUACGAAUACCGAAGAAUGUUAUCACGGGAGACACACGGCGGGUGCUAACGUCCGUCGUGAAGAGGGAAACAACCCAGACCGCCAGCUAAGGUCCCAAAGUCAUGGUUAAGUGGGAAACGAUGUGGGAAGGCACAGACAGCCAGGAUGUUGGCUUAGAAGCAGCCAUCAUUUAAAGAAAGCGUAAUAGCUCACUGGUCGAGUCGGCCUGCGCGGAAGAUGUAACGGGGCUAAACCAUGCACCGAAGCUGCGGCAGCGACACUAUGUGUUGUUGGGUAGGGGAGCG
rnacentral:rRNA from 1 species